CAAUAGCGUAUAUUUAAGUUGUUGCAGUUAAAAAGCUCGUAGUUGGAUUUCGGUUAAGAGCGACCGGUCCGCCGUUUGGUGUGCACUGGUUGGUUUUAACUUCCUGUAGAGGACGUGCUCUGGGUUUAACGACCUGGACUCGGAGUCUACGUGGUUACUUUGAAAAAAUUAGAGUGUUCAAAGCGGGCUUACGCUUGAAUAUUUCAGCAUGGAAUAACACUAUAGGACUCCUGUCCUAUUUCGUUGGUCUCGGGACGGGAGUAAUGAUUAAGAGGAACAGUUGGGGGCAUUCGUAUUUCAUUGUCAGAGGUGAAAUUCUUGGAUUUAUGAAAGACGAACUUCUGCGAAAGCAUUUGCCAAGGAUGGUUUCAUUA
rnacentral:rRNA from 1 species